GAUGAACGCUGGCGGCGUGCUUAACACAUGCAAGUCGAACGGAAAGGCCCAAGCUUGCUUGGGUACUCGAGUGGCGAACGGGUGAGUAACACGUGGGUGAUCUGCCCUGCACUUCGGGAUAAGCCUGGGAAACUGGGUCUAAUACCGGAUAGGACCACUUCUUGGAUGUUGUGGUGGAAAGUUUUUUCGGUGUGGGAUGAGCUCGCGGCCUAUCAGCUUGUUGGUGGGGUAAUGGCCUACCAAGGCGUCGACGGGUAGCCGGCCUGAGAGGGUGUACGGCCACAUUGGGACUGAGAUACGGCCCAGACUCCGACGGGAGGCAGCAGUGGGGAAUAUUGCACAAUGGGCGCAAGCCUGAUGCAGCGACGCCGCGUGGGGGAUGAUGGCCUUCGGGUUGUAAACUCCUUUCGCUAGGGACGAAGCGUUUUGUGACGGUACCUGGAGAAGAAGCACCGGCUAACUACGUG
rnacentral:rRNA from 1 species